ACCACGUAGAUAAAACAUGUUCCGCAUCUGUAUUCUUUAACAAACGUUCACGUAGCUUUCACCAGAUGCACUUCUACAGCUUAGACUGAUCUUGUGAGUCCCUUUCUCAGUCGCGUACUGUUUUAAGUGUUUUCAAAAAAAUAUAUACGGGACUUAAUUUCCUAUACAUAAUAUACGAACAGUAGUUUUAAGGCAAAGCACAGCUAAGGCAACCAACAGACAGAAACAAAGCUUUAAUCAAGAAAUAUUUGAAUAUACAGGAUAAAUAUUAACAACAUAAUUAUAAAGAAGGAGCGAGAUACGAUGUGAUAGUGAAAAGGGUUGGAACUCAACUGUCAAGCUUCUUUGCGUAUUGGCGAUAUCAAGAUUUCCCACUAGUAGCCAUGAAGGUCCAUUCACCACGAACAACCCAAUCCCCAAGAUCACACCCUGUCUACCAGGUUCCUAAAGAAAAACUCUCUAGAGCUGUGAUAUUAAAGAUUUGGUUAGGACUUUUUAUUUUUCUGUUUGUCACAGGGGGUAUCUUGGUCGUCUUGGGGGUUAUUUUCUGGCAAACAGGUUUAGGGAUGUUUCUUGGAGGCGUUUUUUCUCUGAUUCUCGCUGUGCCCACGCUAGCUUUGUACUUGUGGUACAUCCGCUGGCGGAAGGUUGAGACAAACAAUAAGAGCAGAAAAGACCACAACACUAUAUCUACUAUUGGCAAUCCAGAUUUCUAUACUCCAGCACCCCUUCAACUGAAAUCAGACUACCCCAUGGGACCUCUUCUCAUCAUGACCCUUCCCAGAAACAAGCCUACUUCGCUGUCUCAGUCGCUAGAUGACAGCAUUGUAGAGUCAACUCCUGACAUUAGUGGAGAGAAAAGUCCAAUAAACCCACGCAAGAAGAACCUUCCACCGCUUGCAAGUACAGAAACUUUGUCUCCAUCGGUCGUGAGUCUCAAUACUGCUGUCUAGAGGUUUGAUAGAAAAUGUUUCUAUACUACCGAAAGAAACCUCGUCCUUCAGAAAAAAUACAAUCACUAGUUUGCAUUAAAAUAAAAAUGACUAUAAAAAUUAAUAAGUAUUAAUUUUUGCAGUAAAGAAACAUUUUAACAUAAACUAUUGUUACUUGAUGUUAGAACAUGUCUGGUGACGUAAGAUGCAAUACGCCGUAUAAUUCCAUAUGUGUUAAUAAUCUGGUUACCAUGCCGAAAAUGGAAAUAUGGCAUAUAAUGUUCUGUCGCUAAGUUAGUUAUGUUACGUGAAUACUGUUUUUUACUUGUUGACAAGAAACGUCUAUCCAAACUUAUAAAUCACAUGUAUUUGUUUCUCACUGCAGCGUAAGUAAUAAUGUGAAAAUCAUUUUAAGACAUAAUUUUUUAAAUAUACAAAUCGAAGUACAUAUCUUUCUUGUGCUUCAGUGGUCGCGAAAAGGGACGUUUGGUCAACCAUUGGCCACUUCCGUUUAGACCUAUUCUAUAAAUUUUAAAUAUUUAUUUCAUGCUGUUGUUGCGUUCGUGUGGUAAUAUUCAUAUUACAGUGAAUCUAAAUAUUGGGGAAUUGCCAUAUAAAUUGUUCUAAGUGUAGAGGGACAAAACGUAAAGAUUUCUAGAUAUAACUUUUUUUUUCUCUUCUUUUUUGAAAAGUGAAUUUAUAAGUAAUUAUAUCAUGUUUAAAGCUUCUACUGUAACAAGAUGUCGGAAAACAAGCUUGUUUUUGCAAAUGUUAUGAAUCAUUGCCCCAGGACCUAAGCAUCUUAAAUUAUAUUAUGUGUAAAAGAAAAAUAUUUAUGAAGUAUUUCUUGUCAGUUUGGUUUUGACUUUGCAAUGGUUUAUGAAAGUUGAAUCAACGUCUAACCCAUACGGAGAUUUUGCUAAAACCUACAUCAAUUACUUCUAAACAUUCUAGACAUUCAUACGUGAAUCAUCUAAAGAUUUCAUUGAAAUAUUCAUGUAUUCAAGUCUUCUGAAAAGUUCACUUGAAUGUUCUUGUGCGGAUCGUCAGAACAUUUCUCAAUAAUGUUUAUGUGAACAUCAGAAUAUUGUACUCGGAUUUUCACGAACUUCUGGGGAUUCAGGGGGAUACAAUCUAACGUAAACUAAUUUAAUUUCAAUAAAAAGCUCAAAGAAAGUAAAAAAUGUAGUUCUUUUCCACCGCGAUUUUUAUAUUAGUUGUGGUUGUAACGUCGUUUGUUGAUUUGAGUAUUCAAAAUCGUUUUAAUAUAACGUAUUCAACCCUCUGUAUUAAUCUGUUUUGUGACUAGAAUUACUUUUUGUUUCUUGUUUACAUGUAUUAUAGCUAUUAAAAUAAAGAUUGUGGAUCCUAAGGUAACCAUGAUGCUAAGGCAGAAAUUUACCGCAUUAAACCAAAAAUAGUUUCCACUAAAAAUAUUAACUUGAACAGAUUUAAAACACUAAAUAAAGUGUAAAACAUGUCACUCUUCAGAAGUCAAAAAAAAGAUAUUUAACUAUGGAUAUGGUUUUCUGUGUUCUCUUGCAAGUUCGUCUGAAUUUUCUAAUGUACUUGAAAACUGUUUGUAGUUUCAUUUUUCAAGUUUAAUGUAUGAGAGGAAGACGGUUUUUUACUCAAAAAUACAUUCUGAGUUACUAACGUUUUUAAAUGUACAGCGAAUGUUUACAAUUUCAUUGGUCGUGUUGAAUGUAAAGGGGAAAAGGAGGUUUGUACUUAAAGAACUCAAUUCUAAGAGUGGAUCUGUGAUCUAACAACCCGUCCUUAAUACUCGUGAACUUAUAAUCUCAUUAGAAGCACAAUCUACAUGUUUCUGGUUAUUUGCUUAUUAAUGAUAUAAUAAAAUGUGACCUUCGAGAAUGAAAUUCUUGAUCAAUAUUUUAACUGUUGGUUCUUUCCAGUGUGCUGCGUUCUGUGUUUAAUUGUGCCAGAAGAUAUUUGACAAAUAAAAGUCAGAAUAAUA